rnacentral:rRNA from 1 species
GUAGGUGGCAAGCGUUGUCCGGAAUUAUUGGGCGUAAAGCGCGCGCAGGCGGUUCUUUAAGUCUGAUGUGAAAGCCCACGGCUCAACCGUGGAGGGUCAUUGGAAACUGGAGAACUUGAGUACAGAAGAGGAAAGCGGAAUUCCACGUGUAGCGGUGAAAUGCGUAGAGAUGUGGAGGAACACCAGUGGCGAAGGCGGCUUUCUGGUCUGUAACUGACGCUGAGGCGCGAAAAGCGUGGGGAGCAAACAGGGAUUAGAUACCCUGGUAGUCCACGCCGUAAACGAUGAGUGCUAAGUGUUAGGGGGUUUCCGCCCCCUUAGUGCUGCAGCUAACGCAUUAAGCACUCCGCCUGGGGAUACGGCCGCAAGGCUG